ACCCCAUGAUAAUAUUAGAAGGCAUCUUUAAAUAUUUAAAGCUUCGGCGGUACGGGAUGGGCAUGCGCAACAUUAGCUAGUUGGUAGGGUAACGGCCUACCAAGGCUACGAUGUUUAGGGGACCUGAGAGGGUGAUCCCCCACACUGGUACUGAGACACGGACCAGACUCCUACGGGAGGCAGCAGUGAGGAAUAUUGGUCAAUGGGCGCAAGCCUGAACCAGCCAUCCCGCGUGCAGGAAGAAGGCGCUAUGCGUCGUAAACUGCUUUUCCAGGGGAAGAAAACCUGAUACGUGUAUCGGCUUGCCGGUACCCUGGGAAUAAGCAUCGGCUAACUCCGUGCCAGCAGCCCGCGGUAAUAC
rnacentral:rRNA from 1 species